GAUGAACGCUGGCGGCGUGCUUAACACAUGCAAGUCGAACGGAGUUUAUACGGAAGGAGUCUUCGGACAACAAAAGUAUAAACUUAGUGGCGGACGGGUGAGUAACGCGUGGGUAACCUGCCUUAUACAAGGGGAUAACAGAGGGAAACUUCUGCUAAUACCGUAUAAAAAUAUUUCACGCAUGUGAGAUAUUUGAAAGAUUUAUCAGUAUGAGAUGGACCCGCGUCUGAUUAGGUAGUUGGUGAGGUAGAGGCUCACCAAGCCGACGAUCGGUAGCCGAUCUGAGAGGAUGACCGGCCACAUUGGGACUGAGACACGGUCCAGACUCCUACGGGAGGCAGCAGUAGGGAAUCUUCCGCAAUGGGCGAAAGCCUGACGGAGCAACGCCGCGUGAGUGAUGAAGGUCUUCGGAUCGUAAAACUCUGUUAUUAGGGAAGAACAUAUGUGUAAGUAACUGUGCACAUCUUGACGGUACCUAAUCAGAAAGCCACGGCUAACUACGUGCCAGCAGCCGCGGUAAUACGUAGGUGGCAAGCGUUAUCCGGAAUUAUUGGGCGUAAAGCGCGCGUAGGCGGUUUUUUAAGUCUGAUGUGAAAGCCCACGGCUCAACCGUGGAGGGUCAUUGGAAACUGGAAAACUUGAGUGCAGAAGAGGAAAGUGGAAUUCCAUGUGUAGCGGUGAAAUGCGCAGAGAUAUGGAGGAACACCAGUGGCGAAGGCGACUUUCUGGUCUGUAACUGACGCUGAUGUGCGAAAGCGUGGGGAUCAAACAGGAUUAGAUACCCUGGUAGUCCACGCCGUAAACGAUGAGUGCUAAGUGUUAGGGGGUUUCCGCCCCUUAGUGCUGCAGCUAACGCAUUAAGCACUCCGCCUGGGGAGUACGACCGCAAGGUUGAAACUCAAAGGAAUUGACGGGGACCCGCACAAGCGGUGGAGCAUGUGGUUUAAUUCGAAGCAACGCGAAGAACCUUACCAAAUCUUGACAUCCUCUGACCCCUCUAGAGAUAGAGUUUUCCCCUUCGGGGGACAGAGUGACAGGUGGUGCAUGGUUGUCGUCAGCUCGUGUCGCGAGAUGUUGGGUUAAGUCCCGCAACGAGCGCAACCCUUAAGCUUAGUUGCCAUCAUUAAGUUGGGCACUCUAAGUUGACUGCCGGUGACAAACCGGAGGAAGGUGGGGAUGACGUCAAAUCAUCAUGCCCCUUAUGAUUUGGGCUACACACGUGCUACAAUGGACAAUACAAAGGGCAGCGAAACCGCGAGGUCAAGCAAAUCCCAUAAAGUUGUUCUCAGUUCGGAUUGUAGUCUGCAACUCGACUAUAUGAAGCUGGAAUCGCUAGUAAUCGUAGAUCAGCAUGCUACGGUGAAUACGUUCCCGGGUCU
rnacentral:rRNA from 1 species